GCCUCGGCGAGACGAGCGAUCGAGAGCAAUGCCGAUAAAUGCGCUGAAUAAAUCAUCACGGGCGCUGAAAACUCAUCGAUUCGGGGGACGUGUGUUGCGUAUGCUUUGGCGUCAACAUUUUAUACACUGAGUGUUACCACAGUGCAGAUACAACGAAAUAAAUCAAGACAUCGCUCAUCAAAUUUUCACGAGCGGCGGCAAUUUUCGUAUUCAUGGUCAUGCCGUCAAGUUCCGCUGCUGCUUGAACGGAGCUUUUACGUAAACAUUGACAAAACACCCGACUGUUUUCGAUUUCCGUCCGACUUUCAACCCGCUACCCUUCGUCAUCGAUCCUUUUUGACACAGACAAACGGAUUCACUCGAUUCGUAUCGAUUAAAACAAAUUAAAGGCGUUGAACAUGACAAGGACAAACACGACAAAGAUCUACGAAUAAUUAAUGUUUGCAAACGGCAAGAAAUUAAAUCAACGGCGAGGUUUACAGUUACAGAAAUCGUUACGACACGAAAUUGACUAAAUUAAUGUCAAGAUUACUUCAAUGUUUCAAGUGCGAGACAAUUAAUUAACGCGUGAGACAUUUUUGCACAUUUAUCACUUACUGAAACGAGCUGUAUCGAUAAGAAAGAUCGAAGAGUAAAAAAAUAAAUAAAUUUUAAAGUUUAAGUUUUAAAAUUUUAAAAAGAAUGGGAUAAGUACCUUCGACAUUUUCUGAACUAUAGCUGCACCGCGGCGGACUAAAGAAAAGAUGCGUGCGGUAGUGAUGUUCUUCGAUGGGGGUGUAACCGCUGUCGCGGUUCGAGCGUUUAUUGUUGUGGCCGCUGGUGGUGCGCUUGCCGCCGAGCGUUUUUCCACGCGGCGACUUCUGCUCGGCGAAGUUUUUCUUGAACAUCAAAUUCAUCUUGACGCUGGUUUUGGUUGUCCUUGGGAUUUAUGAAGUUGAAUGAUGAGGGUUGUCGGUUAUAGGAUCAUUCGUUUUCAACCAGUUGCGUCUGGAUUUCUGUCACCUAAAAAAUAUAAUUCGUAAAUAUUUGUUUUUAUUGCAUAGAAAAUACAGUGUGUUUGUAUUUGUCAUUGAAUCGAAUAUUGAUUCUGAUAAUGAGGGUGGCAUAAAUAAUGAAAUUGUUUACUACACACGAUUGUUUUAAAGAAAUUUAACGUAUUUUAACGUAUUUUAACGUAUUUUGCAUUUUUUUAAAAUUUAUUUGGGCAUUUUUCGACAUUUUUAACUAUUGUAUGAAACCAAUGGAACAAAAAUUGAGUUUAUACCCAAAGGUGUUAAACCGCAUAAAAACCCCAAACCAAUUUUUUACUAAUAAAUUUACAAUAAAACUAGUAUUAUUAUUUUUAUAUGUAACUAGUUAACUGGGCAAACGUUGUUUUGCCAUAUAAAUUAUUUCAAGUUUCUAGAUAAAUUUUAGUGUAGACAAAAAGUAACUUACUUAUUAUAAAAAAUAGGGGUUGGUGAUAAGAAACCAAAAAUUUAGGGUUGUAUGUAUAUUUUAAUGCCACAUUAAAAAAAUAAAAACAAAAAAUUUCGACCAAAAUUAAAAAAAAAAUAAGGGUGAACAACCCUUAUCACUUAGAGAUAUGAAGUUACCGAUUCUCAGACCUACUGAAUACGCAUAUAAAAAUUUUCUUUGAGCGGGAUGAAAAAUGAUUAAAUUACUAAAAUGGCUAUAAAGAAAUAGGGGUUGGUGAUAAAAAACUAAAAAUUUAGGGUUGUAUGUAUUUUUUAAUUCCACAUUAUAAAAAAAUAAAAACAAAAGAAUUUGUCCAAAAAUUUAAAAAAAAGUUAAGGGUGAACAACCCUUAUCACUUAGGGGUAUGAAAAAUAGAUGUUAGCCGAUUCUCAGACCUACUGAAUUCGCAUAUAAAAUUUGGUAAAAA